rnacentral:rRNA from 1 species
AUGGUGGUGGGAGCCACUGAAGGCAUCCCGAGGCAUGCAGAUUCGAUCACGGACGUGGGCACGCGGGAUGCGUCGGGCCCUCCACUCACGCUGCAUGUGGGGCUCGUUGAUGGGACCUGUGAUGGGAAUCAUGGCCAUGCACGUACGGUGGUAGCUCUUCCUGGACAUGCACGUACGGAGACUAUUCUCGACUCUGAUCUUUCCAACUUGGCUGCCCUGGACGACUUGGAGAUGCAGCGGCCUGAUUCUAGUGAUGAGCAAAGGGCUCUUGCAACAAUCACGGAGGGGAUGGCAUCUCAAGAAGCUUUGGCAUUCGCCCGGCUCAAAAGCUUCUGCUCCAACAUCGUGAAGAAGCUCGCUCCUCCUCUGCUGAAAGAAGUACAAGCUGCAACGCUUCGGCCAUAA